rnacentral:rRNA from 1 species
AGUGAACGCUGGCGGUAGGCCUAACACAUGCAAGUCGAACGGCAGCACAGUAAGAGCUUGCUCUUACGGGUGGCGAGUGGCGGACGGGUGAGGAAUACAUCGGAAUCUACUUUUUCGUGGGGGAUAACGUAGGGAAACUUACGCUAAUACCGCAUACGACCUACGGGUGAAAGCAGGGGAUCUUCGGACCUUGCGCGAUUGAAUGAGCCGAUGUCGGAUUAGCUAGUUGGCGGGGUAAAGGCCCACCAAGGCGACGAUCCGUAGCUGGUCUGAGAGGAUGAUAAGCCACACUGGAACUGAGACACGGUCCAGACUCCUACGGGAGGCAGCAGUGGGGAAUAUUGGACAAUGGGCGCAAGCCUGAGCCAGCCAUACCGCGUGGGUGAAGAAGGCCUUCGGGUUGUAAAGCCCUUUUGUUGGGAAAGAAAAGCAGCAGGUUAAUACCCCGCUGUUCUGACGGUACCCAAAGAAUAAGCACCGGCUAACUUCGUG